AGGAUAAACAUGCAGAUUAAAACCUUUUUUUCUUUAAGAAAAACUGUGUUUAUUUAUUAUUUUUUUCAUCUGAAGCAAGUCUCAAUUCAUAAAUAAAGUGCCAAUGGAUAGAUAGAUUUGACGUGAUAUAAAAUUGUACAUGAAAGUGACAACAAUAUGGUAAAAGUAAAAGGUAACAUAAGUGUGUGAAAAUUUAAAUAUCGCGGUCUCUUCUGCAUUCAGGGGGAAGUUGAGGGUAGCGUUUUCUGUCAGUGCAGUAGUUGUAGAUGGUGAAUUUCUGACGCACCCAUUUGAGUCUUUGCCAUUGAGCUGCGUCAAGGUCACGGAACUCUGGUUGGUCCCACCAUCUCUUGCCCUGUGUGUCGCAGAACUUAGCGUUCACAGAGGCCUCACACCCAUCGAUGUGGAAACCCUUGUACGCUGCUAUGAAAGGAGCUUUCGACCAAUCUGUUUUCUCCAAACCACCCCUUGUUGCCCAGUCAUCAGCAUUCCACAGACUGUUGUAUAUCUUCAUAGGUUGGUCGAAUGGAAACUUCACUCCCAAGUCCUUGCUGUUCUUGAACACCCUGAUUGGCACAUCGUCCACAAAGAACCUGCACACCCCGCAUUUCA
rnacentral:lncRNA from 1 species